rnacentral:rRNA from 1 species
UGAGGAAUCUUGCGCAAUGGAGGAAACUCUGACGCAGCCACGCCGCGUGAAGGAAGACACCCCUAUGGGGCGUAAACUUCUUUUCUGUGGGAAGAACACCCUGGUCACCAGGGUCUGACGGUACCACAGGAAUAAGCACCGGCUAACUCCGUGCCAGCAGCCGCGGUAAUACGGAGGGUGCAAGCGUUGUCCGGAAUCACUGGGUGUAAAGGGUGUGUAGGCGGGGCAGUAAGUCAGGGGUGAAAGCCUACGGCUUAACCGUAGAAUUGCCUUUGAUACUGCUGGUCUUGAGUCCUGGAGAGGUCGCUGGAAUUCGUGGUGUAGCGGUGAAAUGCGUAGAUAUCACGAGGAACACCAGAGGUGUAGACGGGCGACUGGACAGGUACUGACGCUGAGGCACGAAAGCGUGGGGAGCAAACAGG